GACGAACGCUGGCGGCGUGCCUAACACAUGCAAGUCGAGCGAGUGAAUCUCCUUCGGGAGUGAAGCUAGCGGCGGACGGGUGAGUAACACGUGGGCAACCUGCCUCAUAGAGGGGAAUAGCCUUUCGAAAGGAAGAUUAAUACCGCAUAAGAUUGUAGCUUCGCAUGAAGUAGCAAUUAAAGGAGCAAUCCGCUAUGAGAUGGGCCCGCGGCGCAUUAGCUAGUUGGUGAGGUAACGGCUCACCAAGGCGACGAUGCGUAGCCGACCUGAGAGGGUGAUCGGCCACAUUGGGACUGAGACACGGCCCAGACUCCUACGGGAGGCAGCAGUGGGGAAUAUUGCACAAUGGGGGAAACCCUGAUGCAGCAACGCCGCGUGGGUGAUGACGGCCUUCGGGUUGUAAAGCUCUGUCUUCAGGGACGAUAAUGACGGUACCUGAGGAGGAAGCCACGGCUAACUACGUGCCAGCAGCCGCCGUAAAAC
rnacentral:rRNA from 1 species